rnacentral:rRNA from 1 species
GACGAACGCUGGCGGCGUGCUUAACACAUGCAAGUCGAACGGUGAAGCGCCUUCCUUUUUGGUGGGUGUGGAUGAGUGGCGAACGGGUGAGUAACACGUGAGUAACCUGCCCCCUUCUUCUGGAUAACCGCAAGAAAGUGUGGCUAAUACGGGAUAUUCUGGGUCUGUCGCAUGAUGGGUCUGGGAAAGAUAUUGUUUCGGUGGGGGAUGGGCUCGCGGCCUAUCAGCUUGUUGGUGGGGUGAUGGCCUACCAAGGCGGUGACGGGUAGCCGGCCUGAGAGGGUGGACGGUCACACUGGGACUGAGACACGGCCCAGACUCCGACGGGAGGCAGCAGUGGAGAAUAUUGCACAGUGGGCGCAAGCCUGAUGCAGCGACGCCGCGUGAGGGAUGGAGGCCUUCGGGUUGUGAACCUCUUUCGCCAGUGAAGCAGGCCUGCCUCGUUUGUGGGUGGGUUGACGGUAGCUGGAUAAGAAGCGCCGGCUAACUACGUG